CGGACGGGUGAGUAACGCGUGGAAAACCUGCCGUAUACUGGGGGAUAACACUUAGAAAUAGGUGCUAAUACCGCAUAAGCGCACAGCUUCGCAUGAAGCGGUGUGAAAAACUCUGGCGGUAUACGAUGGUUCCGCGUCUGAUUAGCUAGUUGGUGGGGUAAUGGCCUACCAAGGCAACGAUCAGUAGCCGGCCUGAGAGGGUGAACGGCCGCAUUGGGACUGAGACACGGCCCAAACUCCUACGGAAGGCAGCAG
rnacentral:rRNA from 1 species